CCUACGGGUGGCUGCAGUGGGGAAUAUUGGACAAUGGGGGGAACCCUGAUCCAGCCAUGCCGCGUGUGUGAAGAAGGCCCUCGGGUUGUAAAGCACUUUCAGUGAGGAAGAACGCCUGGUGGUUAAUACCCAUCAGGAAAGACAUCACUCACAGAAGAAGCACCGGCUAACUCCGUGCCAGCAGCCGCGGUAAUACGGAGGGUGCGAGCGUUAAUCGGAAUUACUGGGCGUAAAGCGCGCGUAGGUGGCUUGAUAAGCCGGUUGUGGAAGCCCCGGGCUCAACCUGGGAACGGCAUCCGGAACUGUCAAGCUAGAGUGCAGGAGAGGAAGGUAGAAUUCCCGGUGUAGCGGUGAAAUGCGUAGAGAUCGGGAGGAAUACCAGUGGCGAAGGCGGCCUUCUGGACUGACACUGACACUGAGGUGCGAAAGCGUGGGUAGCAAACAGGAUUAGAUACCCGUGUAGUC
rnacentral:rRNA from 1 species